AUUGAACGCUGGCGGCAGGCUUAACACAUGCAAGUCGAGCGGGGAAAAGUAGCUUGCUACUUAACCUAGCGGCGGACGGGUGAGUAAUGCUUAGGAAUCUGCCUAUUAGUGGGGGACAACAUCUCGAAAGGGAUGCUAAUACCGCAUACGUCCUACGGGAGAAAGCAGGGGACCUUCGGGCCUUGCGCUAAUAGAUGAGCCUAAGUCGGAUUAGCUAGUUGGUGGGGUAAAGGCCUACCAAGGCGACGAUCUGUAGCGGGUCUGGGAGGAUGGUCCGCCACACUGGGACUGAGACACGGCCCAGACUCCUACGGGAGGCAGCAGUGGGGAAUAUUGGACAAUGGGGGGAACCCUGAUCCAGCCAUGCCGCGUGUGUGAAGAAGGCCUUUUGGUUGUAAAGCACUUUAAGCGAGGAGGAGGCUACCGAGAUUAAUACUCUUGGAUAGUGGACGUUACUCGCAGAAUAAGCACCGGCUAACUCUGUGCCAGCCGCCGCCGUAACAC
rnacentral:rRNA from 1 species